GAUGAACGCUAGCUACAGGCUUAACACAUGCAAGUCGCGGGGCAGCAUGGGGGUUGCUUGCAAUCCCCGAUGGCGACCGGCGCACGGGUGAGUAACGCGUAUCCAACCUGCCCUUCACCACGGGAUAACCCGGCGAAAGUCGGACUAAUACCGUAUGUUGUCCAUUGACGGCAUCCGAUUUGGACGAAAGGUUUGGCGGUGAAGGAUGGGGAUGCGUCCGAUUAGCUGGACGGCGGGGUGACGGCCCACCGUGGCGACGAUCGGUAGGGGUUCUGAGAGGAAGGUCCCCCACACUGGAACUGAGACACGGCCCAGACUCCUACGGGAGGCAGCAGUGAGGAAUAUUGGUCAAUGGGCGUAAGCCUGAACCAGCCAAGCAGCGUGCAGGAUGACGGCCCUAUGGGUUGUAAACUGCUUUUAUGCGGGGAUAAAGUGGCCCACGUGUGGGUUUUUGCAGGUACCGCAUGAAUAAGGACCGGCUAAUUCCGUG
rnacentral:rRNA from 1 species